rnacentral:ncRNA from 1 species
GUAGUGACGAAAAUAACAAUGCAGGACUCGUUCGAGGCCCUGUAAUUGGAAUGAGUACACUUUUAAAAGCUUUAACGAGUAUCCAUUGGAGGGCAAGUCUGGUGCCAGCAGCCGCGGUAAUUCCAGCUCCAAAAGUAUAUAUUUAAGUUGUUGCGGUUAAAAAGCUCGUAGUUGGAUUUUGGGCGCAGGCGGCCGGUCCGUCGCAAGGCGUGUACUGGACGUCCUGGCCUUCCCUCCGGUUCUCCGCCGGUGCUCUUGACUGAGUGUCGGCGGCGGCCGGAACGUUUACUUUGAAAAAAUUAGAGUGUUCAAAGCAGGCUCUCGAGCCUGGAUAAUGGUGCAUGGAAUAAUGGAAUAGGACCUCGGUUCUAUUUUGUUGGUUUUCGGAGCGCGAGGUAAUGAUUAAGAGGGACAGACGGGGGCAUUCGUACUGUGCCGUUAGAGGUGAAAUUCUUGGAUCGGCGCAAGACGAACGACUGCGAAAGCAUUUGCCAAGAAUGUUUUCUUUAAUCAAGAGCGAAAGUCAGAGGUUCGAAGACGAUCAGAUACCGUCCUAGUUCUGACUAUAAACGAUGCCAACUAGCGAUCGGGGGGCGUUACAUUGACGACCCCUCCGGCAGCUUACGGGAAACCAAAGUUUUUGGGUUCCGGGGGAAGUAUGGUUGCAAAGCUGAAACUUAAAGGAAUUGACGGAAGGA